rnacentral:rRNA from 1 species
AGCACGUAGGUGGGUUUGUAAGUCAGAUGUGAAAGCCUUCUGUUCAAAGGAAGAACGGCAUCUGAAACUGCAGAUCUUGAGUGUAGGAGGGGAGAGUGGAACUUCUGGUUGAGCGGUGAAAUGCGUAGAUAUCAGAAGGAACGUCGGCGGCGAAAGCGACUCUCUGGCCUAUUACUGACACUGAGUGUGCGAAAGUUGGGGGAGCAAACGGGAUUAGAUACCCCGGUA